UACGAAGGGGGCUAGCGUUGCUCGGAAUUACUGGGCGUAAAGAGCGCGUAGGCGGCUCGUUAAGUGUGAAGUGAAAUCUCCAGGGCUCAACCCGGAAACUGCUUUACAUACUGGCGAGCUGGAGUGAUGCAGAGGUUUGUGGAAUUCCUGGUGUAACGGUGAAAUGUGUUGAUAUCAGGAGGAACACCCAUGGCGAAGGCAGCAAAACUGGGGCAUCAACUGACGCUGAGGCGCGAAAAGCGUGGGUAGCAAAACAGGGAUUUAGAAACCCCAGUAC
rnacentral:rRNA from 1 species